UCAGGUGGUUAUAGCGUCAGGGGUCCACCUCUACCCAUACCGAACAGAGAAGUUAAGCCUGACCACGCCGAUGGUACUGCGUAAAAGUGGGAGAGUAGGUAGCCGCCGAUU
rnacentral:rRNA from 1 species